CAGUAGCCGCGGGAAUACGUAGGGUGCGAGCGUUAAUCGGAAUUACUGGGCGUAAAGCGUGCGCAGGCGGUUUUGUAAGACAGAGGUGAAAUCCCCGGGCUCAACCUGGGAACUGCCUUUGUGACUGCAAGGCUAGAGUACGGCAGAGGGGGAUGGAAUUCCGCGUGUAGCAGUGAAAUGCGUAGAUAUGCGGAGGAACACCGAUGGCGAAGGCAAUCCCCUGGGCCUGUACUGACGCUCAUGCACGAAAGCGUGGGGAGCAAACAGGAUUAGAGACCCCAGUAGUCCCUGUCUCUUAUAC
rnacentral:rRNA from 1 species